CUAAGUUCAGCGGGUAUCCCUACCUGAUCCGAGGUCAAAAUGGUUGAUGUAGCUUCUGGGAGCCACCCAGCCAGGCGACGAGUUCGCGUUUCUGCUGCGCUCGUAGCCGACGUGAGGGCCGCCAAUGGAUUUGAGGUGAGUCCACGCACGGGGGCAGGACAGGCACCCAACACCAAGCAGUGCUUGAGGGUUUAGAUGAC
rnacentral:misc_RNA from 1 species